rfam:Arabis alpina cultivar Pajares chromosome 1, whole genome shotgun sequence.
AUCAUGAUGAUGAGAAAAAAUUUGCCUCUGAAAUCAAAUUCAUGUUGAUAUAUUUUAUAUACAACCUUCAAAGUUCUCUGAAUUGCU